UGAAUUUGAUAAAGCAAGGCUGAGUUUGGUAAAACUAAGUGCAGCUGGACUUAAGUUCCUGAUUGUUUAUGUUCAGAGGUACAUUAGGUUUCGUGUGGAUCAUGGUCUAAAAUAUCCAUAAUAUCUCAAUAUUUCUAUCGAAGUUUCCGUGUUUUUGUACUACCGAUAUUUCCGAUAUCAUCAAUAUUUUAGACCUUGCUAAGUCACUCAAGUAUAUGCAUGUAUAAAGUGUAAAAUAUUGUACUAAUUCAUUAUAUAUAAAUGAUUAUGGUGUGUUUAAACUUCUUUCAUUAAUUACUACAUAUUUUCUACACUCACAAUGUUUGCCAGCUCGCUAUAUAAUCAACUUAAAUCAGUUAUAUCUAUCAUGCAAUGCAUUUCCUUCUAAUUUUUUGUGAUAAACUAAUAGAUAAUUAAAUAAACAUCAUGCAAAGUUUUAAUAAAAAUUUCUAAGUUUUUCUUACAAUUUCCGUGGUUUUUAUUCAAUUUUAAUCGAUAUCGAUAAUAUCCCGAUAUUUCCAUCGAAAUUUCCGUGUUUUUGGACUAUCGAUAUUUCCGAUAUCAUCGAUAUUUUAUAUCUUGGUGUGGAUAUUAAUAAUGCUUUAGAGUGGACCUGUAGUGGGUCACCAUAGGUUAUGUAUUCGUUUUGCAUUUCCAUGUCGGUCGUUGUCUUGGUUUAAAAUAAAUUUAGAUAUCUUUAUGGCCUACAGUGAAAGUCAUAGGCUAAGUUUGUUAUUAUGAUUUUAGCGUGUAUUUCUGUAAAUUUACAAACAAACAACAACAACAAAGCCUUAUCCCACUAAGUGGGGUCGGCUGUAUGAAUCCUAAAACGUCAUUGCGCUCGGUUUAAAUAUAAACAUGUUAUACUCUGUGAUGUGAAACAUUUAGGUCAGUGACAUUUGACUUGGUUAAUUUGUUUUACUCACAUCUACUAUUUAUACCAUGUGAUGUGCAACAUAUAGGUCAGUGACAUUUCACUGGCGGAUUAUGUUGGAGUUGCACCUUCCAAGCAUGCGACGUAUGUACCUCACACUGCUGGGAGAUACUCUGUCAAACGAUUCAGGAAAGCUCAGUGCCCUAUUGUGGAGAGGCUUACAAACUCACUCAUGAUGCACGGGAGAAACAAUGGAAAGAAACUCAUGGCUGUCAGAAUUGUUAGGCACGCGAUGGAAAUUAUCCAUUUGCUAACAGAUCUGAACCCAAUCCAAGUUAUUGUUGAUGCUGUUGUUAACAGGUACCUGGACGGGAAUAUGUUAAUAUCUGUCUCAUAGUAGUAACAUAUUUUGCCUUGUAAUUACUUGUAUUUGUGACACCUUUUUCUAAUUCUUCUGUUGUAUGUCUUCUUUCUACCGACCAGUGGUCCACGUGAAGAUGCAACUCGUAUUGGAUCUGCUGGAGUUGUUAGGCGUCAGGCUGUGGAUAUUUCACCUCUGAGACGUGUGAAUCAGGCUAUCUAUCUCCUCACAACCGGCGCUCGUGAGUCUGCUUUCAGGAACGUCAAGACUAUUGCAGAGUGUUUGGCCGAUGAACUUAUUAAUGCUGCCAAAGGUUCCUCUAACAGGUACUGACGACUUGUUUCAUAUGCACGUUGCCUAUUACUUGUUAUUUUCUCUCCAAACUCUUAUUUCUGUGCUUUUUUCAUCUGUUUCCCUUGAUUCAUUGGUUUCUUUCCUGACUAUUUGUGCUCCUUUUUGUGCAGUUACGCAAUCAAGAAGAAGGAUGAGAUCGAACGAGUCGCUAAGGCCAACCGUUAAGGAGCUGCCGAAAUUUUUUAUGACGCGGGAGUUUUGUCUGCGUUUUGUUUAUUCGAUUGUUGCUUAAGAAGUAGUCGGAUUUACCCUUGAGCAUGAGAAUUGUGUCAUUUUUUUUGUUAUGAAGAUCUCAAUUAAUCUUGUUGAGUUGAAUUUUAUUUGAAUUAUGAUACAUUUGAAUAGUAAAUUUUCAAAACCUUAGUAGCUGUUGACAAACAACCCCACUCGGGGUAAGAAGUUGCAAAAACAAGAACAUAAUUGUAUAAAAUCUCUUGUGAAAAGUUUAAAUUUAAAUAAUAAAAGUUGGAAAAACACUAAAACCAUAGGCUUUUGCAGUAUAGAAAGGGAAUUUUAACGAAAAGUUUCUGGUACUGUUUACUUAAACGAAAAUUCAUAUUUUUGCACUAAAAAAUCAAUUCUGGUACUAUUCAUUUUAUCCUUUAAUUUGUUAUUAUCGUUAAAAUUCAAAGUUUUCAAGUCUUUUUCAUUAGUUUUCCUGUAUAAAAAAAAAUUAAGUGUGUAAAGAAUAUGUGUAUGGUGUUUUAUCAUAGUUUGCCGCCAUCUCUCUCCUCCCCUUAAAAGUGAUUGCUUUCUGUCAUUUUGAUAAAGCAUAAUCUGGAAAUUAGGAUUUUCGAUAUAGACACUUUAAAAAUUUGAAAUAAAUAAAAUAGGCAAAUUCACUUUCGGUCCUUACAGUUUAGUUAAAGAUCACUUUUGAUCUCUAUUGUUUCAACUAUCUCAAUUUUAGUUCAUGUAGUUUCUCAAACUAUGUAAUUGAAUGACACAUUACAUUUUUCAUCCAAAUUUGAAUUUUAAUAUAAACACUUUAAAAAUAUAAAUAAAUAAACUAAUAAUAUAGGCAAAAUUUCACUUUCGAUCUUUAUAGUUUAGUUGAAGUUCACUUUUAUUCUCUAUGGUUCCAAUUGUCUCAAUUUUAGUUCAUGUAAUUUCUCAAACUACGCAAUUCAAUGAAACGUUACAUUUUUUAUCCAGUCAAUUAACUACUAAACUAGAAAAAGCAUGUGUCACUUAGAUGCAUGGGCAUUUUAGUAAUUUAAUAGCAAAUAGAUAAAAAAAAAAUACAGCGUGUCCUCGAGUUGCAUCGUUUGCAAAAGUACAAGGACUAAAAUUGAUACAAUUGAAACCACAGGGACCAAAACCGAAAUUCAAUAAAAAUAUAGGGACCAAAAGUGAAAUUUGGCCAACAAAAUUAGAAGAAAGGUAAACUAGACCCGACCCGAGAUCCAAAGCCCUAGCUGAUAAAAUGACCCUCUUCCUCUCACUCUUAGCCGUUUCCUAGUCUUCAGCGAUUCAGCACGCCCUCCCCGGCACCUCUCGCUCACUCGUCUGAAAUUCGAACCUCUCGGUCAGUCCUCUUCUCUCUCACCCACCUCCGCCGCUUCCCGUCGUUGAUAGCGUAACUUUCGCAUAACAUCUGUUACUUACUGUGAAACUGGAUUUAAUUAUCAUUAGGCUAUUCCUUUAAUUAGAAUUAGAUUUGAAUUUUUAGUUGGGUAUGUUGAUUGAAAUGCGAAAUUAGGGUUCACGGUGCUAAAGUGAUUAAGUUAGGGAUUUACUGAUUUGUAUCCUUUUCCCCUUUUAUUUUUAUUGGAAUUUUAUUUACAUCAGUUUCGUUGCUUGAUUAGUAGAAACAUAUGGGUUAGGGUUCCCAUAAUUUUUUAAAAUUUAUUUAAAAUUUGAAGCAUUUGAGGCACUGUGAUUGUUCUGCAAUCUCAUUUUCUGGUUUUUUGAUAUUAUUGCGAAGUUUGAUUAUAAGCAUAUUGCUUUGCAGCUUGGUUUUAAUGGCAGCUAUUACCAAAUAUUUUUAUAAUUUUUUUAUUGUACCAACGACUUAUCGCGCCAAUGCUCAGACUUUCCUAGCUUUAAUUGUGUUUAUACAGAACCAUGGCUGCUGCUGAUGUACCUCUUCCUGUAGCCGAACCAACGCAGCCUCACUAUGACGUGAAGCUGUUCAACAAGUGGAGCUUUGAUGAUGUCCAGGUUUCUGGAUUUUAUUAUUUGACUUAGUGAAUUAUAUUUUUCUCUUAUCUGUGAUGAUUUAGAUGAAAUAAGGUUUCCUUCAACGUGUAUGUUUACAGCUACAAUAGGCUUAAUGUAGGUAGGUUUGAGCUAUUAUACUCUGUUUUAGAAUAUACUGAUGGUUGGAUACUAACUGAGGCAACUUUUAUGUUCGUUUUGUUGUUGGGUAGUUGUAAGUAACAUGACGGGUUUCUGCCUCAGCCUCAAUAUAUUGAUUGGAUUUGUUUUUUUAAAUGUUUAGAAAUGUGUGUGGCCUCCUUGUGGCCGUCUUGUGUUAAAUUCACUGUAGGCAUCUUUAUGUUUGUUUCUUUGUGGGUCGUUGUAAAUAACGUGAUGGAUGUGUGGCUCAAAUGUCAAUAGAUUUAUUGGAUUUGAUCUAGAAAUAUGCGUGUCCUCCUUGUGGCUGUCAUGAGUUAGAUUCACUGUAUGUCUAACAAAGUAGGCUUAAGUUUAUUGCACUUGUUUCGGUGACAUGUAUGUUGUGUCGUCCUGAAUAUGCUGAUUUUGUUUUUACUGUGAUUUUCAAAUUUAUACUGAUAAAGUCAGCAUUUAUGUAUGUUUUGGUUUAUUUCAUGUGUAUCUUACAGCUUGUCCUCGCUAUUAAGUGUUUCUAUUGAUUGAUUGGUUUUUUUGCCUCAAGUUGUUUUUUGUUUUGUUUAGACGCUGAAAAGGAUUUUGUCGACAAAAGCUUGUUAAUUUUAUUGUCUUGCAUCUUCUAAUGUAUGGACUAAUUUUUUUUAUGUGAUUCUUCAUCACAUCUAUUUCCCUUAUUUAUGUGGAAUGAUAACGUAUAAUUUUAACAUGUAGGUCAGUGACAUUUCACUGGCGGAUUACAUUGGAGUUGCACCUUCCAAGCAUGCAACUUAUGUACCUCACACUGCUGGGAGAUACUCAGUCAAACGAUUCAGGAAAGCUCAGUGCCCUAUUGUGGAGAGGCUUACAAACUCUCUCAUGAUGCACGGGAGAAACAAUGGAAAGAAACUCAUGGCUGUCAGGAUUGUUAGGCACGCGAUGGAAAUUAUCCAUUUGCUAACUGAUCUGAACCCAAUCCAAGUUAUUGUUGAUGCUGUCGUUAACAG
rnacentral:lncRNA from 1 species